rnacentral:rRNA from 1 species
CCUACGGGGGGCUGCAGUGGGGAAUUUUGGACAAUGGGGGCAACCCUGAUCCAGCAAUGCCGCGUGCAGGAAGAAGGCCUUCGGGUUGUAAACUGCUUUUGUACGGAACGAAACGGCUCUGGUUAAUACCCGGGGCUAAUGACGGUACCGUAAGAAUAAGCACCGGCUAACUACGUGCCAGCAGCCGCGGUAAUACGUAGGGUGCGAGCGUUAAUCGGAAUUACUGGGCGUAAAGCGUGCGCAGGCGGUGCUGUAAGACAGGCGUGAAAUCCCCG